rnacentral:rRNA from 1 species
UACGAAGGGGGCUAGCGUUGCUCGGAAUCACUGGGCGUAAAGCGCACGUAGGCGGAUCUUUAAGUCAGGGGUGAAAUCCUGGAGCUCAACUCCAGAACUGCCUUUGAUACUGGGGAUCUCGAGUCCGGAAGAGGUGAGUGGAACUCCGAGUGUAAAGGUGAAAUUCGUAGAUAUUCGGAAGAACACCAGUGGCGAAGGCGGCGAUCUGGGAAGAUACUGACGCUGAGGUGCGAAAGCGUGGGGAGCAAACAGG